rnacentral:rRNA from 1 species
UACGUAGGCAGCGAGCGUUGUUCGGAGUUACUGGGCGUAAAGGGUGUGUAGGCGGUUUUUUAAGUUUGGUGUGAAAUCUCCCGGCUCAACUGGGAGGGUGCGCCGAAUACUGAAUGACUAGAGUGCGGGAGAGGAAAGUGGAAUUCCUGGUGUAGCGGUGAAAUGCGUAGAUAUCAGGAGGAACACCGGUGGUGUAGACGGCUUUCUGGACCGUAACUGACGCUGAGACACGAAAGCGUGGGUAGCAAACAGG